AGCGAACGCUGGCGGCAGGCCUAACACAUGCAAGUCGAACGAACCUUUCGGGGUUAUUGGCGGACGGGUGAGUAACACGUGGGAACGUGCCUUUAGGUUCGGAAUAACUCAGGGAAACUUGUGCUAAUACCGAAUGUGCCCUUCGGGGGAAAGAUUAAUCGCCUUUAGAGCGGCCCGCGUCUGAUUAGCUAGUUGGUUGAGGUAAUGGUUCACCAAGGCGACGAUCAGUAGCUGGUCUGAGAGGAUGAUCAGCCACAUUGGGACUGAGACACGGCCCAAACUCCUACGGGAGGCAGCAGUGGGGAAUCUUGCGCAAUGGGCGAAAGCCUGACGCAGCCAUGCCGCGUGAAUGAUGAAGGUCUUAGGAUUGUAAAAUUCUUUCAACGGGGACGAUAAUGACGGUACCCGGAGAAGAAGCCCCGGCUAACUUCGUG
rnacentral:rRNA from 1 species